GACGAACGCUGGCGGCGUGCUUAACACAUGCAAGUCGAACGGAAAGGCCCUGCUUUUGUGGGGUGCUCGAGUGGCGAACGCGUGAGUAACACGUGAGUAACCUGCCCUUGACUUUGGGAUAACUUCAGGAAAAUGGGGCUAAUACCGGAUAGGAGCUCCUGCUGCAUGGUGGGGGUUGGAAAGUUUCGGCGGUUGGGGAUGGUCUCGCGGCUUAUCAGCUUGUUUGUGGGGUAGUGGCUUACCAAGGCUUUGACGGAUAGCCGGCCUGAGAGGGUUACCGGCCACAUGGGGACUGAGAGACGGCCCAGACUCCUACGGGAGGCAGCAGUGGGGAAUAUGGCACAAUGGGCGGAAGCCUGAUGCAGCAACGCCGCGUGCGGGAUGACGGCCUUCGGGGUGUAAACCGCUUUCGCCUGUGACGAAGCGUGAGUGACGGUAAUGGGUAAAGAAGCACCGGCUAACUACGUG
rnacentral:rRNA from 1 species